rnacentral:rRNA from 2 species
UUUGGCGGUUAAAUCGAUGAACCUCGAAAAUUUUACCUUUAGUUUACCUUACAUACCGCCGUUGUGAUAGGCUUUUGUGAGAGAAGGGUUUUACUUAAUAUUCAUGAGUUAAAGUAAUUUAUUUUAAUAACUUUGUCUCUAUAGAAAUUCAGGUCAACGUGUAGGAUCUAAAGGGUUUAGCUGAGUUACAAUUUUUGUAAAAUAUGGAAUUAUAAAGUUAAGUUUAUAUAGAAAGUGGACUUAUUAGUAAAAUUUUAGUAUAAAUGAAGUUUGAAUAGUGUCAUGAAAUGCGUACAAAUCGCCCGGCGCCCUCACAUGUUUUAAGAUGAGGUAAGUCGUAACAUGGUAAA